UAACCCAGCAAGCAUAGAGGGGAUUUUUAGGGGUGGGGAUGGGGGGCACGGGGUGAAAGGGAAGAGAUGUACGAUUGGAAUCGCACUGUUCUAGAUAGGAGCUCCAGCAGCUCUGCACCUCAUGUAAAGAGACACGUUUUGAAUCUUUUAACCUAAUCCGAAGGUAAUGUAGAAAUUGUGCGUAGUGAAUCGUUUUAGUUGAGCAGAAGCCAUGGGGAGGGUGGGGAGGGCUCGAACCACAAAUCUGUUGUAUUUUUGAAGUGCAAUAACUUGGUGUUUUUGAAGACUUAAAAGGGCUGCGCAUUCCCUUUUCUUUGAGAAGGCUUUGUUUCUGGAGGCGGUGGCAGUGACCUGCAGGACAGCUGGACACCUGGCACGUGAGGAGGAGCGGGGUGGGGGGCGAGGGAUGCUUGGGCCUUCGAGAAAAUGCCAGGUGGGGGAAUCUCAGUUUCUAGCCAACUACCUCGGUAAACUCCAAUUCAGGUUUCUUUCAGUCACGAACCAGUGUGCGGCCCGGCACCGGCGCUGCUGGCGGCACUGUUGGCAGGGUGUUGAGGACAGAGCCGAGGGACGAUGCGUGGAGCCCUGCGACCACGUGUUAACAGCCUCUGGACUUUUCCACUUCUCUGUUCAAGACUUUGGUCCCAGACCCAAAGCUACUGCUAUGCUCUUGAUGGCAAAAUGUUGUUGCUUUUGAGUUUCCAAAUGGCCAAGCCACUGUUUGGAAACAUCAUGCUUCUGUUACUGCUUUCUGUUUGAGUUGGCCAGCUCUUCCUGUACAUAUGUUUUUUCUUAUAUCCUGUUUUUUUCUUUUUUUGUAAAGAGAAGAGAAAAAACAAAAAGAAAAUUAUUUUUCUUUCCCUCAGUACACAUUCUUCAAAGUUCAAAUUAUAGUGUUUGUUAAAUAAAAAGAAAGAUUUACAUUUAA